rfam:Triticum aestivum genome assembly, contig: Triticum_aestivum_CS42_TGACv1_scaffold_251055_3DL
UUCAUACUCUCUCCGUCUUAAAAUUCUUGUCUUACAUUUGUUUAUUGUCUUACAUUUGUCUAAAUACGGAUGUAUCAAGUCACGUUUUAGUAUUAGAUACAUCCGUAGCUAGACAAAUCUAAGACAAGAAUUUUGAGACGGAGGGAGUACAUG